AGCGAACGCUGGCGGCAGGCCUAACACAUGCAAGUCGAACGAACUCUUCGGAGUUAGUGGCGGACGGGUGAGUAACACGUGGGAACGUGCCUUUUGGUUCGGAAUAACUCAGGGAAACUUGUGCUAAUACCGAAUGUGCCCUUCGGGGGAAAGAUUUAUCGCCAUUAGAGCGGCCCGCGUCUGAUUAGCUAGUUGGUGAGGUAACGGCUCACCAAGGCGACGAUCAGUAGCUGGUCUGAGAGGAUGCCCAGCCACACUGGGACUGAGACGCGGCCCAGACUACUACGGGAUGCAGCAGAGGGGACUCUUGCGCAAUGGGCGAAAGCCUGACGCAGCCAUGCCGCUUAAAUGAUGCAGGUCUUAGGAUUGUAAAAUUCUUUCACCGGGGACGAUAAUGACGGUACCCGGAGAAGAAGCCCCGGCUAACUUCGUG
rnacentral:rRNA from 1 species